rnacentral:tRNA from 1 species
GUGUACUUAGCUCAAUGGUUAGAGCAUCACUCAUGAAUGCUGAGUAUGUGAGUUUUGACUCUCACAGUACACA